UUUUAUUUGAGAGUUUGAUCCUGGCUCAGGAUGAACGCUGGCGGCGUGCCUAACACAUGCAAGUUGAGCGAUUUACUUCGGUAAAGAGCGGCGGACGGGUGAGUAACGCGUGGGUAACCUACCCUGUACACACGGAUAACAUACCGAAAGGUAUGCUAAUACGGGAUAAUAUAUUUGAGAGGCAUCUCUUAAAUAUCAAAGGUGAGCCAGUACAGGAUGGACCCGCGUCUGAUUAGCUAGUUGGUAAGGUAACGGCUUACCAAGGCGACG
rnacentral:rRNA from 1 species